rnacentral:lncRNA from 1 species
UUGUAACUUCAAGCUGUCAAGUUUGUAGUGAUUUGUUAUGCAGCAAUGGAUGACCAGUAUAAUGGAUCAACUCACUUAAAUUUGGGAACUUCAGUCCUGAUCAUGGUGGAUAAGUACUUUGACCACUGAUUGACACAGCAGAACAAGGAUUUGGGGUCAAGCUGUGCAACCCAAGUCCAGGAGGUAAAGGGAAGAUCAACCCACCUUUGUGUAUUAUGAAGAUAUGAGCAAACAAACUAGAACACACGCACAAAGAAUAAAUUGAGAUCUGCUAUUUAAUACUUACACGAAGGCACAGAAUGUUGACAAGAGUGCUGGAGCUGCUUUUCCUACAUUCACAUUGUUCUGUUAGAGAGCUUUGUAAAGAUGUUGUUGGUUACCUAUAACUUGGCAAGAAGGUUCAGACAGCCUACAAAGUCCAAAUAUAUAAUGGAUUGCAAUAUAAAUUAAAAUAUUCACUUUAUGAACAAUUCAAAUGAUAGUAAUUUAAAAAUAUGCAUUGGAAACCACCAGUAUUUUAACUAAGGGCUGUCAUAAUUUUGGUGUACUUCUUUAAAUAAACAUGAAAAUAGCCUGCUGAAAGAAUUCACUUUGAAAAUGCCAC